AUAUGGUAGGGCAUUUUUUAGCAAUUAAACACUUUAAUAGCUGCUUUAAGAUUAUAACCAGUUUCUGAAUUUUAGAUGUUUGUAAACGGGACAUAGUUGUUUACUUAUCAACGUUUAUUACAGAAUC